AGAGUUUGAUCCUGGCUCAGGAUGAACGCUAGCGGCAGGCCUAACACAUGCAAGUCGAACGGUANCAGGAAAUAGCUUGCUAUUUUGCUGACNAGUGGCGCACGGGUGCGUAACGCGUAUACUACCUAUCUUUUACAGNGGGAUAGCCUUUGGAAACGAAGAAUAAUACCCCAUGGUAAGUGUCCAUGGNAUCAUGGAAACUUUAAAGAUUCGUCGGUAAAAGAUGGGUAUGCGUCCUAUUANCUAGAUGGUGUGGUAACGNCACACCAUGGCAACGAUAGGUAGGGGCCCUGAGAGGGGGACCCCCCACACUGGUACUGAGACACGGACCAGACUCCUACGGGAGGCANCANUGAGGAAUAUUGGACAAUGNGCGAGAGCCUGAUCCAGCCAUGCCGCGUGCAGGAANACUGCCCUAUGGGUUGUAAACUGCUUUUAUACGGGAAGAAACCCGCCCACNUGUGGGCGGCUGACGGUACCGUAAGAAUAAGGAUCGGCUAACUCCGUGCCAGCANNCGCGGUAAUACNGAGGAUCCGAGCGUUAUCCGGAAUCAUUGGGNUUAAAGGGUCCGUAUGUGGACGAUUAAGUCAGAGGUGAAAUCCUGCAGCUCACUGUAGAAUUGCCUUUGAUACUGGUCGUCNUUGAAUUAUUGUGAAGUGGUUAGAAUAUGUAGUGUAGCGGUGAAAUGCAUAGNAUNUUACAU
rnacentral:rRNA from 1 species